GGUGAACGUGGACGUUCAAACGGACUCAGAGCUCCUCUCGGAUUCGAUGACGGUGAACGCGGACUAACGGACGCCGGACUAGUUCAAUGGUCGUCGUACGUCAAACACUAAGGCAGGACUUGAUCUCCGGUGGUUGAUGUUCAAUAUAAUUCUUCCUCCAUCGAAAGAUUGACAUCAUGAUAUUCAAUCAUCUGUCAAAAGGAGUCAUGAAUUAUCAAACUAGUUCACUUGAAUUUCAUGGGCCAAAAAGAAAUGAAAGUGGCGUGAGUUUGGUUGAUCAGAAGGCCACAAAUGGGUUAUCCAAUGAAGUAAAGAGUUUGGUUAACCCAUCAAGCAAAAAGGGUCAGAAUUGGUUUUUGGGCCAAGAGACUAGCACUACUCCUGUUUCUGGAAAAAGAUAGAAGCUUGGAGUACCAAAAUAAAUUCCAACAAGAUUUCGAGAUCGGACCACGAGCAAACACUCAAAAAUUCGUGUACGUGACCGAUCUCGAGGGGGCAAUUUGUAGGCAUUAAAAAUGUGAUAAAUGCCAUGUCAUCAUUUUGGUCCCGAAAAAGUCAAAUGUUGACUUCUAUUAUUUAAAUGACAGAUAAACUGUUUAAAUUGGGUUGUAAAUCAAAUAGGCCCAUUUUAUUCAAAUGACGUUUAUUUAAUAGAAGUGGGUCAUUUAAAUGGAUAGUAAGUAAAAAGGCCCAUUCAUCCAUAAAAGAGAAAACCCUAAACCUAAGAAGAGGAUAUAAAAAGUUCUCUCCAAGUCAUUUGGCAGACAGACGGAACGUAGUAUACAAAAAACCUACUACUCUCCAGAAAAACCCUAAGACGGCUUCCAAGCACACAAGUCUGACAUCAAAUCUCGGUGGAAGAAGAACAACAAGCACAAACGCCAUUCUACCUUCAAACCACAAAUUCUUGCUGUUGUAGAGAUCGAAUCAGUGGAUAAACAUUAGAGAUUGUACCCAAAUACAAAAUCAAUACAAAAUAUUUUGUUCACAUUA